GACGAACCGUGCGAACGUUAUUCGGAAUCACUGGGCUUAAAGCGCGUGUAGGCGGGUGGGGACGUCGGUUGCUGAAAGCCCCCGGCUCAACCGGGGAAGUGGCACCGAAACGCCCCGUCUGGAGGGACGUAGGGGGACCUGGAACUUCCGGUGGAGCGGUGAAAUGCGUUGAGAUCGGAAGGAACGCCCGUGGCGAAAGCGAGGUCCUGGACGUUUUCGUGACGCUGAGACGCGAAAGCUAGGGGAGCAAACGGG
rnacentral:rRNA from 1 species